rnacentral:rRNA from 1 species
ACGGAAUAGAUACCCAGGUAGUCCCAGCCGUAAACGAUGCUCGCUAGGUGUCAGGCAUGGCGCGACCGUGUCUGGUGCCGCAGGGAAGCCGUGAAGCGAGCCACCUGGGAAGUACGGCCGCAAGGCUGAAACUUAAAGGAAUUGGCGGGGGAGCACAACAACGGGUGGAGCCUGCGGUUUAAUUGGACUCAACGCCGGACAACUCACCGGGGGCGACAGCAAUAUGUAGGCCAGGCUGAAGACCUUGCCUGAAUCGCUGAGAGGAGGUGCAUGGCCGUCGCCAGUUCGUACUGUGAAGCAUCCUGUUAAGUCAGGCAACGAGCGAGACCCGUGCCCACUGUUACCAGCAUGUCCUCCGGGACGACGGGUACUCUGUGGGGACCGCCGAUGUUAAAUCGGAGGAAGGUGCGGGCCACGGUAGGUCAGUAUGCCCCGAAUCUCCCGGGCUACACGCGGGCUACAAUGGAUGGGACAAUGGGUCCCUCCCUGAAAACGGGCUGGUAAUCUCACAAACCCAUUCGUAGUUCGGAUCGAGGGCUGUAACUC